UGCAACGCUUCCCUCACACCCAAGAGGGAGGAAGAGAGGGAAAGCGCAACACCUAGAAAUGAAUCUUUAAAGAGGGAGUAUCCCUAAAUAGAGCAAAAUAAUAAAUGGAUGCUGCUGUGCUUUCUUACAAAACAAAACUCACAGUGGAACUUUCUUUUUGUAGAUGAGCUAUUAUUAAAGGGAUUGAUUCUGGAGAAAUUCCACAAAUUGCUAAAUUCCCUUUAAAAAAUAAAAUCCACGUCGUUCAAACCACUGCAACAAAUCUGCAGCUGAAACAGCUGCAAAGACAAAGCCCCACUGUCACUUGGUAGUAACACUACCCUGGUCCGUGCUACACCACCUCACAGACUUGGCAAUCCAAACAUCUGUUCUAAGGCACACUUGUAGUACUGCCUCUACUCACAUUCCUUCCUUCCACAGACUUGACAGAUGGUUGAAUUCCUAAUGGCCCCAGGCUACAUUCACAGGGUUGCACCAGCUACCUCCUUCUUAGCAAACACUGCUUUCCCCUCCAGGUUGCAAAACUGAGAUACCAGUAGAGGGAUGUACAGUGACAUAAAUUGGGGAUCUAGGCUCAAACCCCCAACUUUUCCCGCUGGCAGGAACACCACACGGUGGUGUCUGCAUCCUGCCACGCUCAUAUUCUAUGAGUGACAAUAGGCAAUGAAGCACAAUGGAAAAGAGAAAGCUAUGCCCACAGGGUCCUUCCCAAUGGUGGCCAGGUGUUUUGUUUGAACCACCUUGUGGCUGAUGGAGAUGGAAUUGCAAGCUCCCUGGAAGACUGCCUGCCAUCCUGUUAGGAUCGUUGCCGAUCGAUCAUCACCGAGGUUCUUAUGUCUUCGGAACGCAAUGAAAAAUAAGUCUCGUAAAGGAAGGUGGUAUAAACUGGGAAAUGCAGGCUACUUUGUCAGAAUCACGUGGAUGGAUGUGUUCUGCUAGGGGGCUUCCAUGUCACUCUAUAACAAGAAGGAAAAGAGAUGAAACUCCUAACAACAACAACAAAAAAAACCCAUGAAAACUGCUGCCAGAGAAAAGAAUUUUUACCACCAUGUCAUGCAGACUGGGGUCUCCACUUACAGAUGGUGAUUAACAUAGACUAGUGACUAAACUGUGUUGACAUAUACAGACCAGAAGUCUCUAUGUCCUUCUGUGGACUCUAUUUGGUCUUCUUUCCUCAUGCUCUUUUCUUACGCUCUCAUUUUCCAGUUUUGCUUUCUGCUCUAAGUUGGCAUAAGAGUCAGGUUUUUAAGGGUGUCAGGUUGUGAGUGUGAAAAACGAUUCCCUUCUAACUUAUUUUUGUGUCUAAAAUGUAAUGUAGAAUGAUGUAGGUGCAUGUCACCUUUGAAAGAGGCUGUGAAGAAUAUUCUUCUAGUGAAGCAUCUACUUCCUGUAGCUUUGUGGCCUCUGAUAUGACAAUAGAAAGUGAUCCAUUUCUAUUUUCAUUAAAAUUUAUUCACAGUCUUGGCAUGUCCCUUUUUGUAAUCUGCCAAUAUCCUUGUCUUUUCCACUAUCACAACCACUGACAAAACAUUUAUUUCUUAAAAGGUUGCAUGCUGUUCAGUUUACAGGUUCUCUAAUAAUGAAUUUGUUCUCUACACCAUCUUUUCCCCCUCUUGCCAGCUGCUGUUGUGUCUCAUAUUUGGCUCUUCAUACGUAUCCCCAAUUCUAACAUUUCAUUUGCUUUCUUCCCUCUCUUCUUUCCUCACUAAUUCUCUGGAGGAGAUGAGAUUCUAUCACUGUUAUUGCUAUUUUCUUUUUUCUUCUAAAGACUGGAAGAGUGAGUGGAGCUGAAAUAUACGGAAAGUGACGACCAGUUCUAUAAAUAUCAAGAGGGGUUCUGCUGCUCAGGAAGGCUGCGCUCUGCUGGUCCUUUAUUGGCAUCCAUCCUAUCCGUUGCUGCAUCAUGGGCCACAGAGUGUCUGUGUGAAGACGGUUUUCACCACAGCACAAAAGCACCAUCUUACGAUCACAUUUUUGCAAUCUGAUGGAGGAUUUGAGUGGCACAAGAGUCAAUAACUGCCAGAGGCAAGUGCAGUAAACCUAGAGAAAUAAAUCAAAAGGAAAAGAAGGGUCGUGGGGGAGUGACUUGAAUCAUAUGCAUUAAGAUUGGCAACAUUUCUUAGUUCCUCUUGGUAGGAUUCUCAGUCUUUGUCUGAGAAAGACAGUGCUUACGGCCUUCCCCCCGGAAUUCAUAUUCUGCUAUUGUCUGCACAGGUCAAGGUGAAAGUCAGCGUUGAAAGAACCAGCUAUAAAUCUAAUAAGGGGCAAAGAAACAGACGGUUUUUAUGGAAAACACAGGCAGACUAUAUAACAAUGACAAGACUAACCGUGUUUACUGAGCACUGGCUAGGAAAAGUUGGACAGCAUUGAUUUCAAAGGGUUUUUAAAGCUGUGGAUCACGACCCAUUAUUGGGACUAGAAUUAAUUUGGGGAGUUACAACUAGUUUUCUCAAGAAUGGAACAUGGAAUACAAUGGAAUAGAAGUAGCCCAAUGCUUGUCUCCCUGGUAAAAAAAUGGAAGAUGCACCCAUGGAGUGAGCAGCCUGGGAACUCCUGAGAACUCCCUUUACAGUCACCAUUGCAAAGCCUCUCACAUGUGACAGAGGAUGAGAGAUAGGUUCCAGCUCCUGCACCUGCCUCAGCAGGCAACUUUGGAUGACAAAUAGUGGCAAACACACAUCUUCAGCCCUGCAAUCACUUAAGAGGAAUUCCUUCCCUCUUCUCUGCCACUUGAAGCAGCCCAUCUGGAAGCAGCCCACCAAAGCAUAAGCAGGGCUCACUGGAAUGGCUAGCUCAUUCUUACUCCUCCUAUGGCUUUGUUUUUGUUUUUCAUGGUAGAAACAUUAAGGAGCUGACGAGUUUUGACUACUGACCACUGGACUCUACUUGCCCAUUAACUAGAUUAUGCACCACUCCUGACUUAGUGCUUUGAAUUUAGCAUACACAGAACGACUUCCCUUGGGGAAGGGUGACUGGGACAGGAUGGGUUCUGGGGGACUCCCUCAUGAGGAUCUCUGAAUUCCCAUCACUUGAAGGUCUAGAGAGCCUGAUCUUCCACCAGUCCCAAGGCUACUUCCAAUUCCUGUCCCUGGAGUGUGUGAUGCUUUGAGAAAAAAGUGUUAAAGCAUUUUAUAGCAAAGAAAUGGCCUUUUGCACAGUUAAUAGCAGUUUCAGUCCCUAGAUAUAAAGCCAUCAUAUUAUUUGAGUUUGCCACCCUUCGUUUUG